rnacentral:rRNA from 1 species
AUUGAACGCUGGCGGCAUGCCUUACACAUGCAAGUCGAACGGUAACGGGUCCUUCGGGAUGCCGACGAGUGGCGAACGGGUGAGUAAUAUAUCGGAACGUGCCCAGUAGUGGGGGAUAACUGCUCGAAAGAGCAGCUAAUACCGCAUACGACCUGAGGGUGAAAGGGGGGGAUCGCAAGACCUCUCGCUAUUGGAGCGGCCGAUAUCAGAUUAGCUAGUUGGUGGGGUAAGGGCCUACCAAGGCAACGAUCUGUAGUUGGUCUGAGAGGACGACCAGCCACACUGGGACUGAGACACGGCCCAGACUCCUACGGGAGGCAGCAGUGGGGAAUUUUGGACAAUGGGCGCAAGCCUGAUCCAGCAAUGCCGCGUGCAGGAAGAAGGCCUUCGGGUUGUAAACCGCUUUUGUCAGGGAAGAAAUCUUCUGGGCUAAUACCCCGGGAGGAUGACGGUACCUGAAGAAUAAGCACCGGCUAACUACGUGCCAGCAGCCGCCGUAAAAC